rnacentral:rRNA from 1 species
AGUGGCGAACGCGGGGAACUGAAACAUCUAAGUACCCGUAGGAAAGGACAUCAACCGAGACUCCGGAAGUAGUGGCGAGCGAACCCGGACCAGGCCAGUGGCGAUUGAGAGACAAGCGGAACCUUCUGGAAAGUAGGGCCAUAGUGGGUGACAGCCCCGUACGCGUAAUGCAAUCAAUCGUCCUCGAGUAAGGCGGGACACGUGAAAUCCUGUCUGAAAUUGGGGGGACCACCCUCCAAGCCUAAGUACUCGUGCAUGACCGAUAGCGAACUAGUACCGUGAGGGAAAGGUGAAAAGCACCCCGACAAGGGGAGUGAAAGAGUACCUGAAACCGAUUGCCUACAAACAGUGGAAGCCCAAGGUUCGUCCUGGGUGACCACGUACCUUUUGUAUAAUGGGUCAGCGACUUAGUGUGACGAGCAAGCUUAAACCGCUAGGUGUAGGCGCAGCGAAAGCGAGUCUGAACAGGGCGUUCAGUUCGUCGCAUUAGACCCGAAACCGAGUGAUCUAGCCAUGAGCAGGUUGAAGGUAAGGUAACACUUACUGGAGGACCGAACCCAUAACUGUUGCAAUAGUUCGGGAUGACUUGUGGCUAGGGGUGAAAGGCCAAUCAAACUCGGAAAUAGCUGGUUCUCCGCGAAAUCUAUUUAGGUAGAGCGUCGACCGAAUACCCCAGGGGGUAGAGCACUGGAUGGGCUAGGGGUCCUCACCGGAUUACCAAACCUAACCAAACUCCGAAUACCUGGGAGUACUAGUCGGCAGACACACGGCGGGUGCUAACGUCCGUCGUGAAAAGGGAAACAACCCUGACCUACAGCUAAGGUCCCCAAGUUAUGGCUAAGUGGGAAAGGAUGUGAGGAUCCCAAAACAACCAGGAUGUUGGCUUAGAAGCAGCCAUCAUUUAAAGAAAGCGUAACAGCUCACUGGUCUAAAUAAGGGUCUUUGCGCCGAAAAUGUAACGGGGCUAAAGCCAUACACCGAAGCUUAGGGUUUGGUCCGCAAGGGCCAAGCGGUAGCGGAGCGUUCUGUAAGCUGAUGAAGCCAUACCCGUGAGGGGUGGUGGAGGUAUCAGAAGUGCGAAUGCUGACAUGAGUAACGUAAGGGGAGUGAGAGACUCCCCCGCCGAAAGACCAAGGGUUCCUGCUUAAAGCUAAUCUGAGCAGGGUUAGCCGGCCCCUAAGACGAGGCGGAAACGCGUAGUCGAUGGGAACCACGUUAAUAUUCGUGGGCUUGGAGGUAGUGACGGAUCAUUGAGGUAGUCCAAUCUUAUCGGAUUGAACGGGCUGCUGCGUGGUUCCAGGAAAUAGCUCCUCCUUAUAAACCGUACCCGAAACCGACACUGGUGGUCUGGUAGAGUAUACCAAGGCGCUUGAGAGAACUAUGCUGAAGGAACUCGGCAAAUUGCACGCGUAACUUCGGAAGAAGCGUGACCCUUUUCCACGCAAGUGGAGGAGGGUGGCACAGACCAGGGGGUAGCGACUGUUUAUCAAAAACACAGGGCUCUGCGAAGUCGCAAGACGACGUAUAGGGUCUGACGCCUGCCCGGUGCUGGAAGGUUAAGAGGAGGGGUGCAAGCUCUGAAUCGAAGCCCCAGUAAACGGCGGCCGUAACUAUAACGGUCCUAAGGUAGCGAAAUUCCUUGUCGGGUAAGUUCCGACCUGCACGAAUGGCGUAACGAUGGCCACGCUGUCUCCACCCAAGGCUCAGUGAAAUUGAAAUCGCUGUGAAGAUGCAGCGUACCCGCGGCUAGACGGAAAGACCCCGUGAACCUUUACUACAGCUUUACACUGAAUUUUGAAUAUGCCUGUGUAGAAUAGGUGGGAGGCUUUGAAGCUGAACGCUAGUUCUAGUGGAGCCAUUCUUGAAAUACCACCCUGGUGUGUUUAAAGUUCUAACCUUGACCCGUUAUCCGGGUUGGAGACAGUGUAUGGUAGGUAGUUUGACUGGGGCGGUCUCCUCCAAAAAAGUAACGGAGGAGUACAAAGGUACCCUCAGCACGGUCGGAAAUCGUGCAUUGUGUGCAAAGGCAUAAGGGUGCUUAACUGCGAGACCGACAAGUCGAGCAGAUACGAAAGUAGGUCUUAGUGAUCCGGUGGUCCCUUAUGGAAGGGCCAUCGCUCAACGGAUAAAAGGUACUCCGGGGAUAACAGGCUAAUACCACCCAAGAGUUCAUAUCGACGGUGGUGUUUGGCACCUCGAUGUCGGCUCAUCACAUCCUGGGGCUGUAGCCGGUCCCAAGGGUAUGGCUGUUCGCCAUUUAAAGUGGUACGUGAGCUGGGUUUAGAACGUCGUGAGACAGUUCGGUCCCUAUCUGCCGUGGGCGUUGGAGAUUUGAGAGGAGCUGCUCCUAGUACGAGAGGACCGGAGUGGACGUACCUCUGGUGUUCCGGUUGUCACGCCAGUGGCACGGCCGGGUAGCUAAGUACGGACAGGAUAAUCGCUGAAAGCAUCUAAGCAAGAAGCCUCCCUCAAGAUGAGAUCUCCCCGGACCCUAGAGGUCCCUAAAGAUUCGUUGAAGACUACAACGUUGAUAGGCAGGAUGUGGAAGCUCAGUAAUGAGUGAAGCUAACCUGUACUAAUUAAUCGUGAGACUUGACUAU